ensembl:lncRNA
GGAGGUCUCAUCAGCUUGGGAUGGUUUAGGUGUGGCUCUGCAUGAUGACAGGCAGAUGGCUCAGUGGCCACCCAACUCCUCUCUUCCUUUAUGAAUCAGUGAAUUUCCUCUCCUUCUCUGUCUCUCUCCUAGGUAGGGUUUGCAUUGUUGCUCCCAUAGGUCUCUCCAGAGCACUCAAGCGACUGAAAACAUCUGUUAUCACUGUCAAAAAUGGAUGUAUCCCCCAUGAACCAGAGGAGAAUCUGCUUGAAUUUUGCAUAAGGCUUGUAGUAAAGAGCAAUCCACAGGAUCCAAAGAACUCAGAUAAUUGUCUCUUUUCUCAAGAAAUCUACUCAUUAAUGCUGAGAUGCCAGUGUGCAUCACUGAGAAGCUACAUUGGGAUACACGUGGCCAGUGAGAUACAAGCUGAAGGCAACAGGAUAAAGAUUGAGUAUCUAGAAACCCAGAGACAUUUUGUGGCUUUGAUAACGGAAGUCAUUAUGCUAAAGAGAGUGGAGCAGCUGGAGGAGUUGCAGCGCCUGAGGACUGUGGGGCUGCAGUACCAACUGAACCAUCCAGCUUUAGACUUUCCUUUUGGUUUGAG